GUGUUAUAUUCUCAGUGGAUGACUGGCAUGACAUGCGUGAAGUGUAGUCUCACCAGUGUCAAUACGAAAUUUUAUUUUCAUUAAAACGACACCCGUUUAGGAUUCCAUUACCAGUUAAUAAUUAUCGCAGCGGUUGCAAGAUCAGCCAGAAGCAAAUCAAUUCUAUGAAUGUUUUCCCAGUGUAAAAUAUGGUUACAUUAUUUGGAGUUAAAGCACAAUUUAAUGAAACAACGUGAGAUCAAUAACUGGGAUAUUAUUUGUAAUCGCUAUAAAUUCUUUCCGUAAACAUAGUUUAUGCACAUUUCAUUUAGUCAUUUGACUGCAGCCAUGCUGGAGCAACAACUUUAGUUGAACAAACCGACCCCAGGACAUUUUAUUUUUUGCUGGUCAAUGGUAGAGAAUGAGCCCUUUGAGAAGGCCUGUCAGGGACAACCUUGACCUUAGAUAUCAGUUCUUCAGCUCGUUGCCGUUCUGAUUGUCCACCCAGAGUAUCCAGUAUUGUCCAAAAGUGCCUCAUUGCAGUCUCGCAGCAGCAAAGCUUCUUCCCUGCAAUGGUCAAGAAAUAUCAAAGCAGUGAGCUGAAAACGGUGUGUGUGUGUGUGUGUGAGUGAGAGUGAGAGAGAGAGAGAAAGUUGUCAGAAAAUUGUGCUAACAAUAUGUUCAGCCUUAAAAAAAAAAAAAAACCUUUUUCUUGUUUAGAAAUAAAGUAAGGAUUUGAUAUAAAUGCAAAAUAAUAAUAAUAAUAAUAAUAAUAGUCCAUUUUACUAAAGGCACAAAUCCUGAUAUUUUGUGGAAGGGGCUUAGUCAAUUACAUCAACCCCAAUGUGCAACUGGUACUUAUUUUAUCAACCCUGGAGGGAUGAAAGGCAGAGUGAGCCUUGACAGAAUUUGAACUCAGAACAAAAGGAUAGAUGAAAUACCACUAAACGUUUUGGCAGCUAACAAUUCUGCCAAAUGAUAACAACAACAACAACAAUUGUUCCUACUACAAGCACAAGGCCCUGAAACUUUGAGAGAGGGGACUAGUCGAUUACAUUGACCCCCAGUGUUUCACUGGUACUUAAUUUAUUGAUCCUGAAAGGCAAAUCGGCCCCAGCAGAAUUUGAACUCAGAACAUUAAGACAGGCAAAAAGCUGCUAAGCAUUUCACCCGAAUAAUAAUAAUAAUAAUAAUUUCUAUGAUAGGCACAAGACUUGGAAUUUGGGGGAAGGGAAUAGUUGAUUACAUUGACUCCAGUUCUCAACUGGUACUUAUUUUAUUGAACACCAAAAGAAUGAAAAGCAAAGCUAUCCCCGGCGGCAUUUGAACUCGAAAUGUGAAGACAUUGAAAUACAGUUAAGCAUUUCACCUGACAUGCUAACAUUUCUGCUAGCUCACCACAAUAAUAAUAAUAAUGAUUACUGGAAGCACAAGGCCUAAAAUUUGGGGGAAGGGAUUGAUCAUAUUGACCCCAGUGCACAACUGGUACUUAUUUAAUCGAUGCUGAAAGGAUGAAAAGCAAUGUUGACCUCGGUGGAAUUUGAACUCAGAACAUAGUGACAGACAAAAAUACAGCUCAACAUUUUGUCUGGCGUGCUAACGAUUCUGCCAACUCCCCGCCUUAAUAAUAAUAAUAAUAAUUCUUUCCACUAUUGGCAUAAGGCCUUAUAAUAAUAAUAACCGUUUCUAAUUUUUGCAUAAAGGGAGCAAUUUUGAUGAAAAGGGGUAAGUUAAUCUGAUCGACAACAGUGAUCAACUGGUACUUAAUUUAUUGACCCUGAAAGGAUGAAAGGCAAAGCUGAUCUUAGUAGCAUUUGAACUCACAACAUAAAGAUCCAAAAGAAAUAUUGCUAAGCAUUUUGUCUGACAUGCUAACAAUUCAGGUAGCACAAUAAUUGUUAGAAAAAUGAUGAGAGGAAGUUGGUCGACUAAAUUCCCACCAUGCCAUCCUGUACAGAGAGGACAUGCUGGAUAAUGUAAUCCAAGAUACACAAUGCCUAGGAAAAAGAAUGUGUGAUCAUUACUGGAAUGUCAGUGAGCCUAGAUCUGUCAGCAGGUAUCCGGACUCACCUGGGACCUAAGAAAAACAACAACAAUUACAUCAUACAGAAGAGCUGGGAAACCAACUUUUGUGCCACUCCCGCACACCACCGUUCAAUCACAAACACUACUACCGCCACCCUGACAACAUCAUCACUAAUAUGACAACUACCACUACUUCUACUACUACCACCGCCACCACUACCCCACCAACACCAACACUACGGCCUCAUCGUCCACCUCUUACUGCCACCCUCAGCAUUCAAUCACAACUACUACCAUCAUUGUUACUACAUCAACCACCCCAAUACAACUGUCUCCACUGUUACUGCUACCACCACCACCACCACCACCACGACCACGAUGAAGUGUCGUUUCUUCAAAAGAAGAAGUGAACCUUGGCUCCAGGAGAGAAAUCUUUACCUACGUCAACAGUUGUCAUGGUGCCAUUAUAUUACACAUUUCCGAAGAGUAACCAUGCUACGCAUAAAAAAUUCAGCAGAACUGUCAGACCAAUAAAAUAGAUACUAGGCUUACAAGGAAUAAGUCCUGGGGUGAUUUAUUCGACUAA